UACGAAGGGGGCUAGCGUUGCUCGGAAUCACUGGGCGUAAAGCGCACGUAGGCGGCGUCUUAAGUCAGGGGUGAAAUCCUGGAGCUCAACUCCAGAACUGCCUUUGAUACUGAGAUGCUUGAGUCCGGGAGAGGUGAGUGGAGCUGCGAGUGUAGAGGUGAAAUUCGUAGAUAUUCGCAAGAACACCAGUGGCGAAGGCGGCUCACUGGCCCGGUACUGACGCUGAGGUGCGAAAGCGUGGGGAGCAAACAGG
rnacentral:rRNA from 1 species